CCUACGGGGGGCAGCAGUGGGGAAUAUUGGACAAUGGGGGGAACCCUGAUCCAGCCAUGCCGCGUGUGUGAAGAAGGCCCUCGGGUUGUAAAGCACUUUCAGUGAGGAAGAACGCCUGGUGGUUAAUACCCAUCAGGAAAGACAUCACUCACAGAAGAAGCACCGGCUAACUCCGUGCCAGCAGCCGCGGUAAUACGGAGGGUGCGAGCGUUAAUCGGAAUUACUGGGCGUAAAGCGCGCGUAGGUGGCUUGAUAAGCCGGUUGUGAAAGCCCCGGGCUCAACCUGGGAACGGCAUCCGGAACUGUCAAGCUAGAGUGCAGAAGAGGAAGGUAGAAUUCCCGGUGUAGCGGUGAAAUGCGUAGAGAUCGGGAGGAAUACCAGUGGCGAAGGCGGCCUUCUGGACUGACACUGACACUGAGGUGCGAAAGCGUGGGUAGCAAACAGGAUUAGAUACCCCGGUAGUC
rnacentral:rRNA from 1 species